rnacentral:rRNA from 1 species
GUGCCAGCCGCCGCGGUAAUACGAAGGGUGCAAGCGUUACUCGGAAUUACUGGGCGUAAAGCGUGCGUAGGUGGUUGUUUAAGUCCGUUGUGAAAGCCCUGGGCUCAACCUGGGAAUUGCAGUGGAUACUGGGCAACUAGAGUGUGGUAGAGGAUGGCGGAAUUCCCGGUGUAGCAGUGAAAUGCGUAGAGAUCGGGAGGAACAUCUGUGGCGAAGGCGGCCAUCUGGACCAACACUGACACUGAGGCACGAAAGCGUGGGGAGCAAACAGGAUUAGAAACCCGGGUAGUCC